rnacentral:rRNA from 1 species
CUAAGAAUCUUCCGCAAUGGGCGAAAGCCUGACGGAGCGACGUCGCGUGGAUGAAGAAGGUCGAGAGAUUGUAAAAUCCUUUUCUGUGAGAGGAAUAAGGUGGGGAGUGGAACGCCCUACUGAUGACGUUAACACAGGAAUAAGCUCCGGCAAAUUACGUGCCAGCAGCCGCGGUGAUACGUAAGGAGCGAGCGUUGUUCGGAAUUAUUGGGCGUAAAGGGUGCGUAGGCGGUUUAAUAAGUCUGUAAUCAAAGACUCGGGCUCAACUCGAGGUCGGUUAUGGAAACUGUUAAACUAGAAUCUUUCAGGGGAAGCUAGAAUUUCUGGUGUAGGGGUGGAAUCUGUUGAUAUCAGAAAGAAUACCAAAGGCGAAGGCAGGCUUCUAGGAAAUGAUUGACGC